UUAGCCCAUAUGCUUGACCCAAAUUGGAAAGAAAAUGAAACCCUAAAAAUUGAAAGGAAUGAGAUCUGAAAGGAGUGGGGGAGGGGCUCUGCUAGGGUUUUGCGCACGACCUCCCUCCCUUAACAUCGACGGUGCGGCGGACCGCUGCUAUGGCGUCGUCAUGGCCAAGGUGGUUGGUCAUUCAUGCAGAGGGAAGGAGAAGACGACUAAAGAGAGAAACAGAGGAAAGUAGACGGUUAUUGCUGCCACCGAAAAUCAUUUUCGACGGUGGUGCACGGUGGCGUUUAUGAUGGUUCGUCACGGUCGUGCAUGGUAAGGGUCCACGAAAGAGGCUAAAGGCUGACGAUGCCGCCACCAGAAAUCGCCUCCGACGGUGGCACGUGGCAAUGCACGACGAUACUCACGGUGGCCAGAAAUCGCCUUCGACAGCGGUGCAUGAUGGUGUUCACGGGAAGCACCGUUGCAUUCCUUGGAUGGUCCUUUGCAGAUAUAUAUAUCAUAUAUGCCUUGCUGGUUGGAAUCAUAAUCCAAAGAUAUUUUCAAUGUGGAGAAAAAAGCAUUAACUUGUAUCACCAGUGCAAUGCUGAAAAGAUGGUGCAAAACUCUUUUCCUCGUCAAAAGAACAGACAAAUCAAGUUGAAUAAAAAGAAUUGCAUAACAAAGAACCCAUCAUCAAUAUCUUGGCCUUGGUCGGCAAAAAAAGAUGGCCAAAAGAGAACAUCACACGAGGGAAGCACGUAUCCUUCUAUAGACAACUAGUUCGCUUUACCUAUAAUAAAGUGUCUUGUCUCUUAAACAUACAGUUAAAUAUUAAAUUUGUUAUUGUUCGGGUGUAAUGAAAGACAUUUGUGGAAAGAUGUUAAGUUUUUCUUAAAUGAAUCUUGAUAUAUAUCUUAAAA